GCCUCUCUCUCCGCGACGACCUCAUGGCCCCGCAGCGUGUUCAUAUGGUCUCCCACUACAUGACGCCUGGUCGUUCACCCGAUCAACGAUGAGCUGAAUGUCCAGUCCGCAGGAACCCAGCUGGACAUCCACGUGGAUCUGUCCACGCCUGAUUGUCCCGUAACUGGAUGAAGACCAGUUGACGGCAGCAGGGUCCAUCGUGGCUCGUGAGGAAUCCGAUCUCUUCCAGGAGUAGAGAACUGGUGCAGGACUCUGUAGACGGGCCUCUCCAGGUAGCUCGGCUGGUGACUUUCUACGGAAAUCUGGAAUGUGCUUGAGUACCCAGAAUGCUCCUGAAGGCUAGUCUGCACAGACCGACACGGAGGAUCAAAACAUAUGGGCUGUGAACAUCCCGUGGCAGAGAAAUCAAUAAAGUUGGCUGGUUAUUCAUAAAA